rnacentral:hammerhead_ribozyme from 1 species
GCACUUCUGAGGAGUCGCAUACUAAGAGGAAACGGCCGUCCAGUAC